GAUGAACGCUGGCGGCGUGCCUAAUACAUGCAAGUCGAGCGAACGGACGAGAAGCUUGCUUCUCUGAUGUUAGCGGCGGACGGGUGAGUAACACGUGGAUAACCUACCUAUAAGACUGGGAUAACUUCGGGAAACCGGAGCUAAUACCGGAUAAUAUUUUGAACCGCAUGGUUCAAAAGUGAAAGACGGUCUUGCUGUCACUUAUAGAUGGAUCCGCGCUGCAUUAGCUAGUUGGUAAGGUAACGGCUUACCAAGGCAACGAUGCAUAGCCGACCUGAGAGGGUGAUCGGCCACACUGGAACUGAGACACGGUCCAGACUCCUACGGGAGGCAGCAGUAGGGAAUCUUCCGCAAUGGGCGAAAGCCUGACGGAGCAACGCCGCGUGAGUGAUGAAGGUCUUCGGAUCGUAAAACUCUGUUAUUAGGGAAGAACAUAUGUGUAAGUAACUGUGCACAUCUUGACGGUACCUAAUCAGAAAGCCACGGCUAACUACGUGCCAGCAGCCGCGGUAAUACGUAGGUGGCAAGCGUUAUCCGGAAUUAUUGGGCGUAAAGCGCGCGUAGGCGGUUUUUUAAGUCUGAUGUGAAAGCCCACGGCUCAACCGUGGAGGGUCAUUGGAAACUGGAAAACUUGAGUGCAGAAGAGGAAAGUGGAAUUCCAUGUGUAGCGGUGAAAUGCGCAGAGAUAUGGAGGAACACCAGUGGCGAAGGCGACUUUCUGGUCUGUAACUGACGCUGAUGUGCGAAAGCGUGGGGAUCAAACAGGAUUAGAUACCCUGGUAGUCCACGCCGUAAACGAUGAGUGCUAAGUGUUAGGGGGUUUCCGCCCCUUAGUGCUGCAGCUAACGCAUUAAGCACUCCGCCUGGGGAGUACGACCGCAAGGUUGAAACUCAAAGGAAUUGACGGGGACCCGCACAAGCGGUGGAGCAUGUGGUUUAAUUCGAAGCAACGCGAAGAACCUUACCAAAUCUUGACAUCCUUUGACAACUCUAGAGAUAGAGCCUUCCCCUUCGGGGGACAAAGUGACAGGUGGUGCAUGGUUGUCGUCAGCUCGUGUCGUGAGAUGUUGGGUUAAGUCCCGCAACGAGCGCAACCCUUAAGCUUAGUUGCCAUCAUUAAGUUGGGCACUCUAAGUUGACUGCCGGUGACAAACCGGAGGAAGGUGGGGAUGACGUCAAAUCAUCAUGCCCCUUAUGAUUUGGGCUACACACGUGCUACAAUGGACAAGACAAAGGGCAGCGAAACCGCGAGGUCAAGCAAAUCCCAUAAAGUUGUUCUCAGUUCGGAUUGUAGUCUGCAACUCGACUACAUGAAGCUGGAAUCGCUAGUAAUCGUAGAUCAGCAUGCUACGGUGAAUACGUUCCCGGGUCU
rnacentral:rRNA from 1 species